GAGAUGUAGCCAUCCAGGCGGACUGCCCCAACUCCCCGCGAUGGAGAGGGGAUGUCGCGGGCUGUGGAUGUGGAGGAGAGCCGUGUGACGAUAUACGCAGAAAGGAAAAAAAGGGAACCCGUUAGAUUUAAACAAAUGGACGGGGCCGGCGGGACGUCACGAUGCGCAGUCGCCACAAAGCUCAAUACGCCGCUCAUGAACGCGCUCAUUUGGCUCCCAGCAUGCGGCACGUCCGGAGGGACCGCUGGCUACCAGGAGCUCAUCCAAACCAAGUGCAACCCAUCCUGCUGCAUCUAAGGAGGACACAAAACAUCCAAACAAAAGCAACAUAAAUGAAGACGAGAACUACUUCCAGCCGCCACUCAGGUGUGUGUCGUAGGCUGUGUGUGCUGCGGGCAGAGAGCUAUGUUCGCAGGCUGGAGGGGUUGUCUGUUAUCUUUGGUUAUCUAGCUGUAUGAGUGAUGCACAUUUUUCAUAAAGCUAGAUAACCGAAAGUAACAAGAAUCCCAUUACACGCCUGCACGGAGGCAGAAGACUAAAUAAAAAACACAUCAAAAGAACCAGGAAGGGGCUCAGACGAUGGAGGUUGCCAAGCGAUGAUGUGAAGGUUUCUGACCAGUCUGGAGUUUGGAAUCAUCAAAUCCUUGCCUCCUUUGGACUGUGACUUUCAGUCCAGCGAUGUUCACUUCACACAAGAAUACAUCAUUAACAGAUAACAUAAAGGAGGGCACGCACUGAUUCUGUGAAAGCAGGAGCGGUCUCUAACACACUCUAAAACUGGUAAUGGAUACAAAAGUGACUUCAACAGCACAACAUCUUGAUCUGACACGUGAAAGAAGAUUUUGAUAUGCGUGGACAAACUGACAUUCGGCUAUUAUGAUGCUGCAACAGAGACGGCAAAGUGAUCUGUGUGUGUGUGUGUGUGUGUGUGUGUUUACACAAUGUUUUUGUGGACUGCUUUGCACAGCUGUUCAGGAAACAUCUGCACUAGAUUUUUCAUGUAGGUCAGGGCUUAGAUCACUCCAUUACAUGCAUGCACACACAAAUUCAGCCAUUCGAGAUUCAAACAUAAAAAAGAUUUGACUUUUUAAAUAGCUGCAGUUGUAAUUUUCUGUACUAUUCCUGAGUAUUAUUAGUAUUCAAUAGCAUUUAGUAUUAUUCUCCUUCAGGUGGGCAAUUUAUCUUAUGUUUGAUAUUCAUUUUUCUUACUUUUCUUUUGAAAUCUCUUUGUUUAUAAUUACUUUAGCUAGCACUUAGAGUAGUGUAUUUGUCUCGUGUGAAAUGUUGGUUGUUUGCAAUCAAAUUGUUGACAAUCUCUGACUGGAUCACCUGCAACAUUUGAAAUUAUUUUUUUGAUGAAGGGUUGUCAAAAUGUUUUAUGGUCAAGAUCCAUCAACUAAGAAUUGUAACUCAAUCAUUCCGAUAUUUUUUGACAUUUUAUUUCAUGUCAUAACUAUAUAUUGUGUUAUGUACAUCUCUAUAUCCCUUAGCAUGCUAAAUACUUUGGCGGUUAAACCAGCUCUGGCCACAGCCAUCUGUCAAAUACAUCACAUUUUUAUUAUACCUUUUUUAUUUUGUGUAUAAUAUCUUCAUUUAAAUUUACUUCAUUAGAUUUUAUUUUUAGAGUAUGCAUUUCAUUUUAGGAUUACUGCAGGAAGCAUUUAAUGCAAUCAAACUUAUUUUUGAUAUCUAUGCAAGAGAAAUGAGGAGGGGGUUCUGUUAAGUUUGCACUAUUUGUAUGAAUGAUUGCACAUGAAUUUUAUUGUUGAGUUUGCACAUCAACAGCUAAAUGUAUGGGUUCAUGUUGUGUGAGAGUUGUGGUAUUUUACCAAUAUGCACUAUAGGAGCGCAGUUGCAAUGUGUGUACUACGAUAUUAUUGGAGCGUGUUUGCCGUAGGUUCAUUAUAAACAGUGUGUUUAAUGAGAUGAUUUAAUCAGCUGUUAAUUGCACAGUCAGCCUCAGAAACUGAAAUCUGGAUUUAUUCCACAUUUCAUUUGUCAAUUCAGCUCCUUUGCCACUGUGAUAUGAAUAAUUCAAUGCAUAGGAAUUUGUGUUGAUCUGAUGUGGAACAUGAAUAUGAGCAAUAGAUUUUAUGCAGUUUGAAUACUAGUCAGUGGGAGUAAUUGAUUAUAUUACAGUGCACUAUGAACUGCUGUUUUAGGAGUCUUAUAAGCAUGAUUUGCACGUGAGCUGCUGUUAAUUUACUCAAUGUUUUAACUAUGCAAUUGUUUCUACUGCAGUUAAUUGAAAACAAUAAAAGUAAUAAUGUUUACAUGAAA